CAAUAGCGUAUAUUAACGUUGUUGCAGUUAAAAAGCUCGUAGUUGGAUUUCUGGAGGGAGCGUCGGCCCGUAUUUACGAGUGCGUGACGUCUCUGUCCAUCCUUGCGGGAAGGCACGGCAUUGAUUUGUUGUGUCGGAUCGCAUCAUUUACUGUGAAAAAAUUAGAGUGUUCAAAGCAGGCUUUCGCUUGAAUACAUUAGCAUGGAAUAAUAAGAUAGGACUUUGGUGCUAUUUUGUUGGUUGAGCCUAAAGUAAUGAUUAAUAGGGAUAGUUGGGGGCACCUGUAUUGCGUUGUCAGAGGUCAAAUUCUUGGAUUUACGCAAGACAAACAGCUGCGAANGNGUCUGCNAAGGAUGUUUNCAUUA
rnacentral:rRNA from 1 species